rnacentral:rRNA from 1 species
CCUACGGGUGGCUGCAGUGAGGAAUAUUGGUCAAUGGUCGUAAGCCUGAACCAGCCAAGUCGCGUGAGGGAUGAAGGUUCUAUGGAUCGUAAACCUCUUUUAUAAGGGAAUAAAGUGUGGGACGUGUCCUAUUUUGUAUGUACCUUAUGAAUAAGGAUCGGCUAACUCCGUGCCAGCAGCCGCGGUAAUACGGAGGAUCCGAGCGUUAUCCGGAUUUAUUGGGUUUAAAGGGUGCGUAGGCGGCCUUUUAAGUCUGCGGUGAAAGUCUGUGGCUCAACCAUAGAAUUGCCGUUGAAACUGGGGGGCUUGAGUAUGUUUAAGGUAGGCGGAAUGCGUGGUGUAGCGGUGAAAUGCUGAGAUAUCACGAAGAACCCCGAUUGCGAAGGCAGCCUGCGAAGCCAUGACUGACGCUGAUGCACGAAAGCGUGGGGAUCAAACAGGAUUAGAUACCCUUGUAGUC